rnacentral:rRNA from 1 species
CCUACGGGUGGCAGCAGUGAGGAAUAUUGGUCAAUGGACGAGAGUCUGAACCAGCCAAGUAGCGUGAAGGAUGACUGCCCUAUGGGUUGUAAACUUCUUUUAUAAAGGAAUAAAACGAGGCACGUGUGCCUUUUUGCAUGUACUUUAUGAAUAAGGAUCGGCUAACUCCGUGCCAGCAGCCGCGGUAAUACGGAGGAUCCGAGCGUUAUCCGGAUUUAUUGGGUUUAAAGGGAGCGUAGAUGGGUUGUUAAGUCAGUUGUGAAAGUUUGCGGCUCAACCGUAAAAUUGCAAUUGAUACUGGCAGUCGUGAGUACAGUUGAGGUAGGCGGAAUUCGUGGUGUAACGGUGAAAUGCUUAGAUAUCACGAAGAACCCCGAUUGCGAAGGCAGCUUACUAAACUGUGACUGACAUUGAUGCUCGAAAGUGUGGGUAUCAAACAGGAUUAGAUACCCCUGUAGUC